UUUAACAAGGAAGAUGAUAUUGGAACCUACACUAUCAAAGCGGUUGAUGAUCCGAGAACCUUGAACAAAAACUUUUACAUUCAGCCUCCCGGUAAUAUUUACUCAUUCAAUGAUCUUGUGUCUCUGUGGGAGAGAAAGAUUGGUAAAACCCUCGAAAAGGAGUAUGUUUCAGAGGAGCAGCUCCUAAAGAAUAUUCAAGGUUGGUUAAAACUCUCUUUUUUAAAUGUAUUAAAGAGAGCCGUAUAUUCUCUGCCGUAAAUGUUAUUGAUCCUGUCUUCUCCAAAAUGUUGCAGAAGCUGCAUCUCCACACAAUUUUAUAUUAUCAAUUUAUCACUCUGCUUUCGUGAAGGGAGUUCAAACUAACUUCAAGAUUGAACCAUCUUUUGGAGUUGAAGCCUCGCAGCUUUAUCCUGAUGUCAAGUACACUACAGUUGAUGAGUACCUCAAUCAGUUUGUGUAACCCUUCUCUGUUUCCAGCUGCAGCUUGCAGGAUCUUGGACUGUUGGUAAAUAAAUAAUUGGCUUGUUGCCAUCUUUGGUUUUAUAUGUAAAAAUUAUGGUUGUUGGCCUUACUUUCUUCUGGUUGUCCAUGGAAUUUGUUAGACCAUAUUAUGUUUGCUAUGUCAGUGAUCAAAUGAAGUAGGCCAUGUACUUGAUUUGAGAGUAGUAGUUAUAAAGCCAUCAUGAUCAGGUGGGUGCGUAGGUUGGGCUUCUAUUAGGGUGCGUGUGUUGGGCUUCAGGGGCUUGUGAUAUGGGUUCGACAGCCCCUAACGGGCAGUCAUUAUAAAAAUAAUUAUAGAGUUACAAAUCUAUGUAAAAAGCAAAAAUUAAAAGUAAUUUAUCAAUAAAAAUAAUUAAAAUUAAUAAAAAGUAGGUAUGAUAAUUCAGAAAUUAAAUUAAAGAUAGAAUUCUAAAGAGUUGGAUAAUCCUCCAACUAAACUAAAGAUCUAGUACUUUUGAGAGCAAAUUUAAUUAAAGAAAAGGAUAAGGAAAAACAAUAGAAUAAUAAUAUUAAAAAAUUGCAAAUCUUGGUCUUUUUUUUUUACGAUGAUGUUGAAUUCUUAUAAAUUUAAUCUUAUCUAUAGAAUUAUUUAGUUACUGUAUGUCAAAAUUUCCUAUAAAGAUGAAGAAAAAUUAUAUUAGGAGAAGAUCCAAAUCCGUUUAACUGAUGCAUCAUCGACAACAUGAGUACAACAUUUUCGAAUAAACAAAAGAAACUCGUUUUAUGUGUGAACCAGUUCCAAAAUAAAGAGCAGACUAUUGGAAGGAGACAAAUACUACAAGAAGAACAAAACAUUCUACAAUUCCUACAUGAGCCCGCAACAAUUAAUUAUUAACUCGACAUUCAUUACACUUUUUCUUUAAUUUGACAAAGAAACCAAAAAUAAGAUAAAAUUGACUAAGAAAUAAAAAAAUGACAAAAAUCUUUUUGAAGUUUUGCCAGUUCAGCCAUGCACGCUUAUCUUUAUUCACUUGUUUCCUUUCUUUCCUUUCUUUCCUUUCUUUCCUUUCUUUGCUGAAGCCUUCACAGAUCCUUUACCUUUCUGAGCCUUGCCAAUUUUCCCCUUCUUCAAACCACCUGGCCUUGCUGGAUCCACGUGUCCUUGCAUCCUUUUUCAUUCGUGGAUCAACAAGAAUCUCCCCCUUUCCAGCUCUCUCUUGAACUCCUUGCUUUGCGACCAUGUAUUCUUUGGUAGGCCUUUUGGGUAUAGUUGUCUUGUAUAAUUGUUCAAUUUGAUUCCUCUUCGAACGAUCAGAGAUGUCCGCUUAGUCUGAUAUGACAUUUGCCUUCUUGCGAACCUUCUCAAGAUUUCGCAUGGCAACCCGUAUCUUUCGAGCUUUGGUCUUAGCCACCUUCUUGGCAGUAUGGGUGGGCGAUUCGAUUUUGGGAUAAACUUUUGGUUUCGUAUCGGUUUAGAUUAAAAAAUAAUAUAAAAAAAUAUUUAGAUUUUAAGGGAAAAAAUCCGAACCGAGACUCACCUAUCGAUUUUGGCUCGGUUUCAGUUCAGUUUUGAUUCUCCUAAUAGUUUUAUUUUGCCUUAUUGACUUCCGGUCAAUGACACUUUUGAAAAAUUUACAAAAAAAAAAAAAAUGGCCAUAACAAAAUUUCUAAAUGCAAAUAUUUCCUAAACAUUAGGCUAUACUAAAUUUUUUUAAAAGGUAGGGAUCCAAACGAUAUUAUCCCUCUACUUCAUCUUCAACCUUCGUCACUAGGGAUGGCAAAAUUCAGGUUCGGGUUCGGGUCCGGGUUUAGCCAUUCGGGAUCCGGACCCGGAUGAAUAUUUUCUGUAUCGGACCCGAAAAUAAACCCGCAUUUUUCCACUCCGAGUCUGGUACGGGUUCAACCCGAAAAAAUUCGGGUUCCCAGACUGCGGGUUUCCAACCCGAAUUGAUGAAUCCAAUUGAAAAAAAAAAACUAAAUUCAACUAAAAAAAUCAAAUAGAAAUACAUAUCCAGGAUUUUAGCAAAUCAAAGAAAAAUUAUUUCAUCUGGAAACUAAUUAACAAAAACAACAAUUUUGUUUGGCUGCCCAGAAUCAGCAACCCAAUGUGGCGGCUCGUUCAAAACAUUAGUGUUUUCAACAGAUUUUGGGGUAGGAAAAGCCAAACCUAUCUAGAACAAUGAAUUUGUAUUUUUGGGGGAGAUGAGAUACCUCACUGGUUUGUUGUGUGCGGUGCAGUGUAUCUGAAAUUUGGGGGAUGUGAGAAGGGGAGAGGGAGUGGUAACAAUGGUGAAAGGUCAAAACCAAUAGAGAUGUCCUUCAAAAUGAGCUUCACACCUGUAAAACAGUGAAAUAAAGGUUAGAGGUGAAGCCGGGAUACCCCGGUGUUCACACUCCGAUGCUCAAGUUAGCAAACUCAAGCUUUUAUGACAAAGAGAACUGGCUAGCCCUCUGUAAAUUAGGGUUUAAGGUUCAAGGAAACCUAUUUUUUGGAAUGUGAGUGUUAAUGGUGAGUGAGAGACCUCUUCGAGAAUGAAACAUAGGCGCCUUUAUAUAUGGAGUACCUCAGCUGCCACAUGACGUACCCUUUUUUGGCUAACGUCAUUUUUCCUUUUUAUGAUUUUUGGGUCGUUAUGUGCAUGUUCGCGGGGUAUCUCAUCUUUUGGAAACGUGGCGCGCGCUGGAGAGUGGUCCAGGGUACCUCUGCAGUAGCUGUCGGGUAGGCAGCUGAAGACCACUGUCCUUGGGACAAUGUCCUUCACUUUUGGUAAAGGUGACAGGCGGUUGUCCCCCUUUUUAACACGACAUUUUUUAUUCCUAAUUAUGACAAAAUCGAAUAAUAUCUUUUAAGAGAUGGAGACGUUUCUCAUGGUGGAUAUUUUCAGAGGAUUCUCUUGCAUCUGAUCAGCCGGGUUCCUCCAGUUAUGCAGGGUACCUCUAAUUUUACGGGGUACCUCUAUUUGCGCAGGGUACCUUGAAUCAUGCUAGGUACCUUAGAUUAUGCGGGGUACCUCAUAUUGUGUGGGGUACCUCUAAUUGUGCGGGAUACCUCUAUUUGCGCUAGGUACCUUGAAUCAUGCUGGGUACCUCAGAUUGUGCGGGGUACCUCUAUUUGUGCAGGGUACCUUGAAUCAUGCUGGGCACCUCAGAUUGUGCGGGGUACCUUUAGUCAUGCGAGGUACUUUUAAUCAGGCCAGGUACCCUCUAAUUGUGCUGAGUACCUCUAAUCAUGCAGGGUACCUCUAAUCAUGCGGGGUACCUCUAAUCAGGCCGGGUACCUCAGAUUGUGCGGGGUACCUCUAUUUGCGCAGGGUACCUUGAAUCAUGCCGGGUAUCUCAGAUUGUGCGGGGUACCUCAAAUUGUGUGGGGUACCUCUAAUCGUGCGGGGUACCUCUAAUCAUGUCGGGUACCUCGGAUUGCACUGAAAUUAUUCCAUUCGUUGACACGUGGCGUUAUGCUAUCUUUCUUAUUUUUCCCCCAAACAACAUCCCUCUAGUUUCUUUUGGCAAGAAGUUUUGGAGGCAAAAGAAACUUACAUAAAAAGUAGGAGCGACACGUGGCGAUAUGAUGUUUAGCUCGAUGGAUAACUAAAUAGAGGGCGCCUCUAGGGGUACCCUGAGAACCCAAAAAGGGAAGAUGGGCUCCAUUUCCUCGGAAAUGGCUACCACUUUGGACAUGUUGGAAAUGAUAGAGCUAAUUGAUCAAAAAAAUUUCAUCUAUUUCUGGGGAAGAACACCAAAUACGGGUAGAGGGUAUCGUUAGGGUACCCCACCAUUAUCCAUAGUUUGUUUUCUAGUGACUGCCAUGUAUAAAUCGCUCUGGUGAAGGCUUCAAUACAUUCUUUGGGCAUUUAAGAAGCAAUUAUUUGAUUAUCUCGGGAUCCACCUUAUUUAAGGGUAUAUUUCCUUCAUGUGCUUCGAAGAAAAAAAUAAAAUCACAGGGCCUUCUUCCUUGUAACUUCAGAGGUACCAUCGACAGAAGAACAUAGUCGACAAUGCUUUUAAGCGUAUCAUGAUCGAGGAAUGGAGUGCUGAUCUGGGGUUGGUGGUGCCAAGAGUGGAGAAGAUGGUAGAUGAACCGGCUAUCUUGAAGGCGAUUAAUGAUAGCGGGGCUCCCAACACAUCUUGGUCUGAAAGCCCAUUGAGAUCAGCUGAGGUACCUCAGAUGAGGUAUCUAUAAGGUACCCCUGAUACUAACCCUUGUGUUUUUGCUACUUUUAGCACUUUAUUGAUCCCUUCAUCCUAAGGGAUGAAGUUGAAGAUAAAUAUCCUGUUGUAUAACCUUGUUCGACAUUACUGACAAGAUGUAUGGGGUACCUUGUUAGCCUAUAUGGCUAUAAAUAUUGAUUUUGAUGAUAACAAACCACAUGUAUUUAUUGAGUAAAGAUUUAUGAAUUGUGCUUUUAUAAUGAGAAAAUGAUGUUAUGGAAUUAAAUCUUUUUGAACUAAAAUGAAAGUAAUUUUAAAAUCUUUGAUAGUAUUUUAAAUUUCGGAUUUGUACAUAUUUGAAACUAUUUAAAUGUUUUUAGGUCAUUUUGUAAUUUCACAAAGUUUGGGCGAAGUCAUAAUUUCAUAAAGUUGUGGGAUUGAGAAAGCAUUAUCUAAAAUUAUGAAAUUGGACAUAUUUGCAAACGUUUAUAACGUUUUGGGCCAUACCACAGUUUUAUAAAGUUUUAGGGUCAAAUUGAAAAUAUUAGAAAAUUUUCACUGUAGCAGGUUACUGUAGCAAGCAGCUUACCGGAUUCAGAAAAUCAGAAAUCCGGAUUCGAGGCAGUAAGCAUCCAGAACCAAAACGGCUUACCGGAUUCCUGAAUCCGGCAAACCGGUUAGGCAAAAUUUUGAAUUUUGCCUUAACGGUAACAUAAAUCCGGCUUACCGAAUUCUAUAAAAUGGCAAACUGGAUAGCCUAGAAUGUGAGUAACGGCUAGUUUUCGAGCUCAAGCUAUAAGAACUCAAAUCCAACUCAUUUUGAAGCUCUCCAACAAGCAAGAACAAAAAGCACACGUGAUAUCUUGAGCCUUCAACUUGUAAAACACAAUUCAUUGAAUCAUUCAUUGUUCUUCAUCUUUGAAUAUCUACUCAUUGAGUGAGUUUCAUUGUAUCUUUCAUUUCUUCAAUUCAUUUGUAAGAGUUUGAGUGUGUGAGACACUUGAGUGAAGAGAUUGGGAGAUAAUCUCUUUGUUGUAAAGGUUUAUUGACACCUCGAAGUCAAUUGUAAUCGUUGAAGCCUUGGAAAGGCUUGGAUAGUGAAAUCCUCGAGCUUGGAUCGCUUGGAGGCGUGGACGUAGGCGGGGAUUACCGAACCACGUAAAAAUUCGUGUGUUUGUUUCUCUUCUCCCUUACUCUUUAAUUAUUGUACCAUUAUUGAACUUAUUACUUUCAAUUAUUGUUAAGACAUUAGAUUGCUUGUUGUGUGGAUUUGUUAGGAUAAUUUUUAAAAAUCCAAUUCACCCCCCUCUUGGGUUGCACACUUGUAUUUCAUACCUCAUGUACCCUAAUGCUUGGAUAUCCCUUGAGCUAUCUGUUACUUCAUGGCGGAAUAACCCAAUUGCAUCAAACAUAUGGCGAUUCUUCCAGAUAUGCUUGUCGCUUAUCUUAAGCUUUCUUAGGGUUCCUCCUGGUGUAUCUGAGGAAUAGCUUUCUGGCGUGGGGUACCCUUAAUCAGCGUAUGGUGAUUUUCAUAGAAAUGCUUGCCGCAAAUCUUCACAAAACUUGUUGCGGUUGCUUUUGAGAGAUUGUGCGGGGUACCUUGAAUCAUGCCGGGUAUCUCAGAUUGUGCGGGGUACCUCAAAUUGUAUGGGGUACCUCUAAUCGUGCGGGGUACCUCUAAUCAUGUCGGGUACCUCGGAUUGCAGUGAAGUUAUUCCAUUCGUUGACACGUGGCGUUCUGCUAUCUUUCCUAUUUUCCCCCAAACAAUUAGUAAAGAGAGCUAAAGAACUAGCUUUAGUUACGAGCAGAAAAUCAGAAGUCAAGGAGCAGCCAAAGCACUUUUAAUGGUGAUGGUAAAACUAGAGAGGUAAUGCAAAUAAGUUUACGUUGAUUGGAUAUUCAGAAGAAGUAAUACGCCAUUAAAAGCAACAAGUUUUCCAAAAAGCCAACAAAGACAGAGACCACCACACCACCCCGCACUGGAUGAAAAACGAUGAAAGCAUGAUAAGUGGCAUCGAGUAAGCCACGUUCUCUCUCUCUCUCUCUCUCACUCGCACUCGCACUCGCACUCGCACACACUGUUACUAAAAUGACCAAAAAUAAGAUUCCCAUCAAAAUAUUUUCGAGUAUCGUUCUUGAAAGUGGCGGCGGCUGAUGAUGAUGAACACAGCCGCGAUUGCGAUUGGCGAAGGCGGCGUUCUGCCCGUAUCACAGCUAGUUAUCGGUCGCGGCAGAAAAGAUAAUGAAACGACGGCUGAUGAUGAUGAUGAUGAUGUUGAACAGCCGCGAAUAUGGGUAAGUGAUGCGACGAUGAUUUGAUUUGAUGAAGAUGAGCUGAACAUGGAAUAAGAGAGGAAAUGUUUGUGCGGCUGGGAAAGUGUAAUGAACUGCUAGGGCACCAUUUGGGUUUUUUUGCUUUCCUAUUUAUAUUAAAAAUAAUUUUUAAAAAUUAAUAUAUAUCCGGGUUCGGGUUUUGGAUGUACGGGUUUACCUAGACCCGGACACAUGCGGAUUCAGCAGCACCGACCACCCACAGACUUGGAUUUGAUUACAAAGUUGGGACUUAGGAUUUGGGUUUGUGGCUGCCGAAACAGAAAGUGAGAGAGUAGAAAGUAGAGACUGAGAGUGGUGCAAACAUGUGUAAUUUUGUGUGUGUGUCUAUAUAUAUAUAAUGUGAAAUUACAAAAAUGCCAUUAUAUCAGUUCAAUUCGAAUUUUGUAACUUGUGAUCCGAAAACUGAACCAAACCGAACCAUUUGGUUUGGUAUUUAUAUAUUCAGGUUUUUAAUUUAAAAAAACUAAAUUGAAAUUGAAAGAACUAAACCGAACCGAAUUUUUUUUUUUUUUGUUUCGAUUCAAUUAUGCCCAUCCCUACUUAGUAGGCUGGGUAUCAAUUUCUUUGAAUUGUGCUUUCAUUGCAGUAAUCUCCUCCUUGGUAAUAGGUUUAAUUGCUUGCUGAUGCCACCUUUCCUCUAGUAACAACUAGUCUAACAAGCCAUCAUCGUCAAACAUGUACCUAUUAUAAGCAUCAUCCAGAAUUUGCUCUCUUUGCUUUUUGCUUAGUGUCUUCUUUGCACAAGCUAUUAUCUUAGCUUUUGUAUCAAUAUCUUUAUCUUUUGAUUCACCAGAGGAUGAAUCAUCACCGGAAUAGAGUGGUGAAGGCCCCAUAGAUUAGUGUGAUCAAGUUCUAGUGUAGUUUUGGUUUUGAUUUCAGUAUUAGGAAAAUGAAGCCUAUGAAAUUUACCAAGCUAACAUGCUUCACAAAAGUGCUUUAAUACUUGACUAUGAAUACUUGAAGAGGAUAAAUGAGGAUAAAUAAAUUUAAAUAUACAUUAGAUUUUGAGGGUUGGGAUGUCAAAACUUUUGGUGAAAAAGAGUUAGUACAAGCAUUUUUAUUGAGAUUGAAAACAUUUCUUAAGAUGAUCAAUACUAGUUACAAAAUUGGAAUGAAAAAAAAAAGGCAACAUAGACAAAGGUUUGUUUAUUUGAUUGUAAGAUAGAAAAGACUUGUAUUUAGGUUGUGGAAAGGAUUUGAGCAGCAAUUUAUACAACCUUUUCUCAGCAAAACCUUCCUCUUCAAUGAAUCCUUCACAAAACAAAUAGAUCCAAGAAAUUCGACAAAUAAAUUGUUGUCAAUGGUAAGUUUUGAAAUGCUCAAUAGAUUCUUUGUAAUGGAUGGAACAAACAGUACAUCCUUAAGUAAAAUAUGUCUUAUAUUAUCUUUUUUUAAUUCUUUUUAAAAAAAUAAGUGAAUAAUAGUAUGUCAAUCUCAAAUAUCAAUAUGUACAAUUUUUAUUUGUGUAAGAAUUUGCAUCCAAUAAUCAUCAAUACAUAAUUGUCUUUUAAUUGAAUGGUUCUCACCUCCCUUCCAAACUUUGAAAAGGUAAAAUAAGAUCAAUCAUGUCAGUGGCAAUUAAUAUAAAGAUUACUUUUCUUAUUUGUAGUAACGUCCUCUGAUUAUUUAGCUGAUUUUCAAGCUACACAUUUAUUCCAUUUGAUGUUGAUAUUAGUAAAAUUAAUGUAAUAUUUAAAAAGGAAAAAAAUCCGUCGAGCUAAAAGCCGAGUAUAAAAUUGAACCAGACCCAAACCAGAAACGCACGCCAACAACAUGUUUGCGUCAGUCGGCCCAUGCCCAUAAACCCACCAAGCCCGAUCCAAAUAGAAAAAUGAAUUGGACACCCGAGAUAGCAGAAACAGAUAAGUAACGGUCGUGCUAUCCCCAAUCUCAUAUCUUCAACGGUAUCCAGCCAACAUCUCAAAGUGUUCAAUUUUUUUUUAAGCCAAAAAAAAAUUCAAAAUUUUCAAGCGGAAUCUGGGAAGAUAGCGAUGAAAAGCAAGAUUCUGGUUAUCGGCGGAACCGGAUACAUCGGUAAGUACUUAAGGUGCGUUUGAAAUUGAGGUUGAGCAACUAUAACUUUAAAACUGCAGCACUAAAAUAUUUGGUAAACACUAAUUGUUGUAACUUAAAAGCUAUUUAAUAUAAUUUUUCACUUGUAUAAUAAAAAAUUUAUUAUCUUUAAUAAUUUUGUCAAAAUUAUUAUUUAAAAUAUAUACAGUAAGAGAGAUUGUAACAUUUUCAAUCUUUGGUUUGAUAUUCUGGAAGAAAACGAUUUGCCGUUUAUGGAGAAAACUGCUAACCGUUUAAUUUCAGAGAGCAUGUUUUCUAUUCUAGAGAAAACGGCUAACCGUUUGGAGAAAACGGCUAACCGUUUGGAGAAAAUGGCUAACCGUUUGGAGAAAACGGCUAACCGUUUAAUUCCAGAGAGCAUGUUUUCUGUUCUAGAGAAAAUGACUAACCGUUUGGAUAAAACGGCCAACCAUUAAUUACAGAGAGCAACUUAUUUGACAUUCUGGAAUAAAACGGCUCACCGUUAUUGAGAAAACGGCUAACCGUUUAUUUCCAGAGAGCGUGUUUUUGCGUCAACUGGAAAAACGGUUAGCAAGCUUAGAAAUUUCAAUUGUCAAUCGAUGCAAACUCAAACCAAAAGAGUGUUUUUUUGAAGAAGUACUAUUUUUAAUGGUUGUAUUCUUUCAAAUAAACAUCUUCUUUAUUAAAGAUAGACAAACUAUUAUAUCAUAAUUAGAUUUUGCAGGUUUCAUAUAUGUUCUGGAAAUACAAUCUUAUUUUUUAGAGAUUGUAUUCAGGAUUUGAUAUAUCUUAGGGGUAAUUUGCCAUUAAAACUCUAUAGCAAACCAAGAUUGGUGAGGGUAAAUAAAACCUUAAAGAAAAAUGUGCAAACACGUCUCAAAUCCUAAGAAAUUUUCUUUGUUCUUUGCCUCCAUAUUCUUAAAAUUUGAAAAUUCACCCAUCAAUCUUUAAGGUUUUAUUUUGAUGCAAAUAGAGGCUGAGAAGAGUUUGACGUCAUUUCUUAAUCCUAGUGUCCAUCUCGAUCGUUUUGAUGGAACAAAUUUCACUCGUUGGAAGGAAAAAUUGUUCUUUCUUCUUACUGUUCUUAAAGUGGCAUAUGUUCUUAAUCCGAAAUUGGAACCAUUUCCAGAACCAAGGGAAGAUGAUACCGAAGUUGUUAAGGCUGUAAGGAAACGUCGUGAAGAUGAUGAAUUGAUGUGCCGGGGUCACAUACUCAAUACGCGUUCUGACAGGUUAUAUGAUCUCUACAAUUUUAUGACUUCUUCGAUGGAAAUUUGGAAUGCUCUUGAGUACAAAUACAAAACGGAGAAAGAAGGUACUGACAAAUUCCUUGUCUCUAAAUAUUUUGAAUUUAUUAUGGUAGACACACAAUCCAUUCUUGAUCAAAUACAUGAGUUAUAAAUUAUUGUUGCUAAGCUUCGAGAGUUAAAAGUUAAAAUUUCUGAAUCAUUUCAAGUUGGGACUAUUAUUGCUAAAUUGCCUCAAAGUUGGAAUGAUUAUAGAAAGAAACUCCUUCAUAGUAAAGAGAACAUAACUUUAGAAGAAUUGCAAAAACACUUGGUAAUUGAAGAAGAGACUAGGUCUCGCGAAUCCAAGGAUAAACAUGAUUCUACUAAAGUUAAUGUUCUUGAAGCUAGUAAAUUCUCAAAGAAUUUUAAAGUCAAGAAUGACAAGAAAUUUAAGAGGUCCAGCACACAAAAGUUUUCUGGAAAUUGUUUCUUUUGUGGUAAGAAAGGUCAUCGCCAAAGUGAUUGCAGAUUCAAGAAAAAAAAAGAAGAAGUGAAUUCCUAUAAAGCUAAUGUUAUUGAAAACAAAUCUGAAAAGAUUUGUGCUAUGGUUUCUGAAAUACAAAUUGGCAUGAUUAUCGAAACCAAUAUGGCUGAAACUAAGUCCUAUGAUUGGUGGCUCGAUUCGGGUACAACAAUUCAUGUUUGUAAUGAUAAGAAAUUUUUAUUAUCAUACAAAGAAGAAACGGAAGGACAAAUGGUUCUCAUGGGGAACAAUAAUGCAGCCAUAGUAGCAGGGAAAUGAGUAGUUGAGAUCAACUUCACUUCUAGAAAGAAAGUCACAUUGUAUAAUGUCUUUCAUGUACCUUCCGUUAGGAAGAAUCUUAUUUCUGCUAGUUGUAUGUGUAAGCAUGGGCUUAAGAUUGUGCUUGAGGGUAAUACUUGUAUUAUCUCAAAGAAUGAAUUAUUUGUUGGGAAAGGGUAUUCUUGUGAUGGAAUGUACAAACUCAACAUUAAUAAUAAUAAUAUCAACUUAGCUUAUAUUGUUGAGUCUUGUGAUGUUUGGCAUGCUAAAUUAGCACAUUUGAAUUUUAGAUCUUUGAAAUACAUGUCUGAGCAUGGUUUGAUUAAUUGCAAUGAUGUUAAAGGUCAUAAGUGUGAAAUCUGCAUCCAAGCUAAAUUAACUAAGAAACAUUUUCUUAAAGCCGAACGAAAUACUCAAAUAUUGGAUUUAAUAUAUACCGAUAUUUGUGAGUAUAAUGGCGUUUUAACAAGAGGAGGUAAGAAGUACUUUAUCCCUUUUAUUGAUGAUUGUUCUAGAUACACUUAUAUGUAUUUACUUAGAACAAAAAAUGAAGCUUUUGAUAAAUUUAAAAUUUUCAAAGCUGAAGUUGAGAACCAAAAAGAUAAGAAAAUCAAAAUGGUUCGUAGUGAUAGAGGUGGUGAAUAUUUCUCAAUUGAAUUUAAUAAUUAUUGUGAAGAAUUUGGAAUUAUUCACCAAAGAUCAGCUCCAUUUACUCCUCAACAAAGUGGUUUGGCUGAAAGAAAGAAUAGGAUCUUCACGGAUAUGAUAAAUUCCAUGAUCCAUAAUGCAAAACUACCAAAUAAUUUGUGGGGGGAAGCAUUACUCACUGCAUGUCAUAUUCAUAACAGAAUUACAUCUUUGAAAACACAUAUAUCUCUUUAUGAAAUUUGGAAAGGAAGAAAACCAAACUUGAUGUAUUUAAGGGUCUAGGGUUGUUUAGCUUUUUAUAAAAUACAUGAUCCUAAAUCAUCAAAGUUAAGUGCUAGAUGUAUAAAGAGUGUUUUCGUAGGAUAUGCUGAAAAUUCUAAGGCUUAUAGGUUGUUAGAUUUAGAUUAUAAUGUGAUUGUGGAAUCUAGAGAUGUUGAAUUUAUUGAGAAUAAAUUUCAACAUGAUUCUAAUAUUGAAUUAGAAUCAAUUAUUGAUCAACCAUGUGUUAAUACUCCUGUUACCUCCACUAACAAUAAUAAAAGGAAAGAGUCUAUGACAUCUUUCGAACCAAUGAGGAGUCAACGUGAAAAGAAAGAAAAGAGUUUAGCUCCGGAUUUUAUUUCAUCACAAGCACUACUCUUCUUGGUUGAAGGGGAUAGAAAGAAUGUACUUAACAAAGUACCAUUAUUGUUAAAUAUUGAAAAAGAUCCAAAGACAUUUAGCGAAGCUAUGUCUUCUAGAGACGCUUCUUUUUAGAGAGAGGCGGUAAAUGAUGAAAUUGAUUCGAUUAUUUCGAAUCAAACAUGGGUCUUGGUUGAUCUUCCUCCAGGAUCUAAACCAAUUAGCAGCAAAUGGGUAUUUAGAAGAAAGUACAAUAGUGAUGGUUCUUUGCACACUUUUAAGGCUAGAUUAGUAGCCAAAGGGUUUAAGCAAAGAAAUGGUAUUGAUUAUUUCGAUACAUAUGCUUCGGUAGCAAGGUUAACUUCUAUAAGAGUGCUAUUUGCAAUUGCUUCAUUGAACAAUUUGUAUGUGCAUCUAAUGGAUGUUAAAACCGCUUUUCUUAAUGGUGAUCUUGAUGAAGAAAUCUAUAUGGAACAACCUGAGGGAUUUGUUUUACCAGGAAAUGAGAAAAAAGGUAUGCAAAUUAGUCAAAUCACUUUAUGGUUUAAAGCAAGCACCAAAACAAUGGCAUGAGAAGUUUGAUUCGGUAAUUUUAUCUCAUGGUUUUAAGCAUAAUAAUGCUGAUAAAUGUAUAUAUUUUAAAUUUACGAAUGAUUUUGGUGUGAUUAUAUGCUUGUAUGUUGAUGACUUGCUUAUCUUUGGGACAAAUAUGCAAGGAGUAGAUGAUACAAAGAAGUAUUUAACUUCACAAUUUAAGAUAAAAGAUCUUGGUGAAGUAGAUACUAUCUUAGGUGUCAAAGUGAAGAAACAUAGUGAGGGUUACUCGUUGUGUCAAUCUCAUUAUAUAGAGAAAGUGCUUCUUAAAUUCAAUUAUUUGAAAUUUAAAGAAGCUAAUACCCCAUAUGAUUCUAGUAUUAAAUUAUUAGAGAAUUCAGGCCGAGUAGUAGCACAACUAGAAUAUGCUAGUGCUAUUGGUAGCUUGAUGUAUGCUAUGCAUUGUACGAGGCCUGAUAUAGCAUUUGCAGUUUGCAAAAUGUCAAGAUUCACGAGUAACCCUAGUGUUGAACACUGGAAAGCAAUUGGUAGAAUACUUGGUUAUCUUAAAAGGACCAUUCAUUUGGGUUUAUUUUAUAAUGAUUAUCCUGAAGUACUGGAAGGAUAUUCAGAUGCUAGUUGGGUAACCAAUACAAGAGAUAAUAAAUCCACUUCUGGUUGGAUUUUUACAAUUGUUGGAGGAGCAGUUUCCUGGGCUUCAAAGAAACAAACGUACAUAACUCAUUCAACAAUGGAAAGUGAGUUUAUAGCACUCGCAGUUGCAAGCAAGGAAGUAGAAUGACUGAGAAAUUUGUUGUUUGAUAUAAUGUUAUGGCCACAACCGAUGCCAUAUAUUUCUUUGUACUGCGAUAGUGAAGCUACAUUGUCUAGAGCUUAUAAUAAAGUGUAUAAUGGAAAGUCUAGACAUAUUAGCUUGAGACAUGAAUAUGUGAAACAAUUAAUAGCAGAUGGUGUUAUUAAUAUUGUUUAUGUUAGGACUAAUAAGAACCUAGCGGAUCCUUUAAUAAAAGGUCUUACAAGAGACUUAGUUAAGGAUACAUCUUUUGGAAUGGGAUUGAAACCUUUAAAUAAUAAAGUCACCAACGACGAUAACCCAACUAUGUAGUAGUUGUACCGCUACUCCAUAGUUAAAUGGAUAAUAACAAGUUGUUGUUAUGUGACUGGUUUGGCACCGAGUAAUAAAUAAUCACAUUCGAGAUAUUCGGUGCAAAUAGCUACGAGGUUGAGGUUGAGUAUUUAUUCUUAAUGAAGUUCAAGUCUUAUAGUAGCUAAAGACAUGAUUUGAAACUUCACCUAAGUGAACAUAAGAAAUGGUGCCGUUUCUAACAAGAUCAUGGUUUAAUCUAGUAAAUGUUCAUGAAUUCAAGAUAGAGCACAAGGCCGGAAUAGUGCUAAAUAUUGGAACACAACUUUGAAAAUCUGGGAUAGCUUAUAUGUGAUGUAUCUCCGGUAUUUACUUAAGAGACAAAGUUUAAUGCUUAGCACAUUAUUGUCUUGUAAAUGCUUUGAAAUACACUCACUAAUUAAAGGUUAAAAUCGAAAGAUAUCUUUUUGUAUGUAUAAGUUUAUCAUUAAUAAAUAUGAAAAAUAUUACAAUCUAGUGGGGGAUUGUAAGAGAGAUUGUAACAUUUUCAAUCUUUCGUUUGAUAUUCUGGAAGAAAACGGUUUGCCGUUUAUGGAGAAAACGGCUAACUGUUUAAUUCCAAAUAGCAUGUUUUCUGUUCUAGAGAAAACGACUAACUAUUUGGAGAAAAUGGCUAACUGUUUAAUUCUAGAGAGCAUGUUUUCUGUUCUAGAGAAAGCGGCUAACCGUUUGGAUAAAACGACCAACCGUUAAUUACAGAGAGCAACUUAUUUGACAUUCUGGAAUAAAACGGCUCACCGUUAUUGAGAAAACGGCUAACCGUUUAUUUCCAGAAAGCGUGUUUUUGCGUCAAUUGGAAAAACGGUUAGCAAGCUUGGAAAUUUCAAUUGUCAAUCGAUGCAAACUCAAACCAAAAGAGUGUUUUUUUGAAGAAGUACAAUUUCUAAUGGUUGUAUUCUUUCAAAUAAACAUCUUCUUUAUUAAAGAUAGACAAACAAUUAGAUCAUAAUCAGAUUUUGCAGGUUUCAUAUAUGUUCUGGAAAUACAAUAGAUCAUAAUCAGAUUUUGCAGGUUUCAUAUAUGUUCUGGAAAUACAAUCUUAUUUGCUAGAGAUUGUAUUCAUGAUUUGAUAUAUCUUGGGGGUAAUUUACCAUUAAAACUCUAUAGCAAACCAAGAUUGGUGAGGACAAAUAAAACCUUAAAGGAAAGUGUGCAAACACGUCUCAAAUCCUAAGAAUUGUUUUUUGUUCUUUGCCUCCAUAUUCUUAAAAUUCGAAAAUUCACCCAUCAUAUACAUACUACAUAUUAUUAACUUUUGUUUUAUAACUAUAGUGUUUUUUUUUUACCGCAACUGUAGUUUAAAAACUACAGCACCUCAAUCCCAAACAAGACCUUAGUGGAAGCGAGCGCAAAAGCCGAUCACCCAACAUUCGCGCUUGUGAGAGACUCCACUCUCUCCACUCAUUCCAAAUCCAAAAUCCUCGACCGUUUCAAAAAUCUCGGCGUCAAUUUAGUUCUUGUGCGCCACUCUUUUAGCUUUCCAAUUUUCCCGCCAAUUUUCUUUUAUUGUGAUUAAUUAAUUAAUUAAUUAAUUAAAGUAAAGAUUUUAUAUUAUAAUUUUGUUUGCAGGGAGAUCUAUACAGCCAUGAGAGCUUGGUGAGUGCAAUAAAGCAAGUGGAUGUUAAGGUAAUGAUUAACUUAAGUAAAUGCGUUAACUAAUUACUUGGGAUUUUAAAUUCAAAUGCGUGAAUUGUUCUAAAAAAUGAUUUAUGUUUAUUAGUCAGAGAUUCUUUCCUUCAGAAUUUGGAAAUGAUGUUGAUCGCGUGCAUGCCGUUGAGCCAGCAAGAACAUCAUUUGCCACCAAGGCUAAAAUCCGCCGAGCUGUUGAGGCUGAAGGAAUUCCAUACACCUACGUAGCUUCCAAUUUCUUCGCUGGUUUGUAUCUUUCCAGUUUCUCACAGCCUGAAGCCACAGCUCCUCCAAGGGAUAAAGUGGUCAUCGUAGGUGAUCGAAAUGCAAAAGGCAAAGCGCUUCUGGAUACAUUUACUCUGUACACGCAAUGUGUGGUUACUGUUUGGGGAUAAAAAAGGAGAUUAAUUAAUAAAGAAAAUGAAAUUAUUGAGGGAUUUGCUGAAGAGUUGCGUGCACUCCUCAUUUUUCUCCACCACUCAUCUUACUUGCAAAAUGCAAUGACCAAACUAUCCUCGCCAAAGCCUAGACAUUUACUUGUGUUCAAAGGCCAUUUAAGAGAGACAAGUACAAAAAAUUAUAAAGGAUAGUGAGCAAAAGAAGAAAAUGGAAGGAGGGGAGAAUAAAAAAUGGGAGUGGGGCGUUAUCUAGGGAGGAUUUUUAUUUUUAUUUUUUUUCCUCUCUUCUCCAUGGCAUCUCUUUCUCUCUUUCUCCCACUAAGAAAUUCUUUCUUUUACACUCUAUUUUACUUUUAUUCAAAUUACACAAAAAACUUUUGGUUUUAAGGCAAUGUUUAUUAAGCCACGUGAAUUUGAAAAAGCAGGAAUAAGGGGAUGAUUUUAACACAUUAAUUCACCAACAUUAAUUGGAAAAGAUCAGUUGCCACUUCGAAUCAGAGUAAUUUCUUCGGCAAUAGCCAAAUAUUGAUAUUUGAUCUUGACACUGUAGUUAAAUCAAUGUAACUGGUUUUGUCAUUUGAUCCCCAGUAAUUUUUAACAAGGAAGACGAUAUUGGAAUUAAUUCUAUCAAAGCGGUGGAUGAUCCGAGAACACUGAACAAAAUACUUUACAUCAGACCCCGUUGCAAUAUCUACUCAUUUAAUGAUCUUGUGUCUCUGUGGGAGGAAAAGAUUGGCAAAGCCCUUGACAGGGUCUAUGUUACAGAGGAACAACUUCUGAAAAACAUUCAAGGUUAGUUAGAACUAUCACUUUAUCAAGUGCAUAGAUGUAACUGACCGAUAAUGGAAUUUUUUUUCCUUCUCCAAAAUGCGAUAGAAUCUAAUCGGUUUCAACAAUCUCAAGAACACCUAUUCAUGGUUGUGUUGUUUGAAAUCUGUAUGUAUCAGUUUUCUUUCUAGAUCUCAGAUUGCUCGCAAGGAUGUCAAGUUUUGAUGAUGCUUGCCUGUUUUCCUGUGUUUACAGAAGCUUCAUAUCCACUCAAUAUGAUAUUACCUAUUGGGCACUCUGCCUAUGUCCUGGGAGAUCAGACCAACUUCGAAAUUGAACCUUCAUUUGGAGUAGAGGCAACAGAGCUUUAUCCAGAUGUCAACUACACUACUGUGGAUGAGUACCUCAACCAGUUCAUAUAAACCUUCUGAGAUGAGCAGCAGGAUCCUAACAAAAAAUUGGGUGGUUUCCAUCCCUGAUUCUAUGGUAUAAAGAUAGCGGCUUUCCCUGCUUUUGCCAGUUCAAUGAAGUUUGUUAGAUGAUGUUAUUUAUACUAUACUAGCAAAGAUCAAGUUGCCUUUCUUGUCAAGAAGCCAAGCUCUGGCAUUGGUUUAUGCUAGUUUUUCAUGUUUAUUACUUUUUUUGCAUUCAAAAUGAUAAAACUGCAGAGGUUGUUGCAUGCACGUCAUUUGUUAGUAGGGGUAUCAAUUUAUGAACGUAUGAAGUAUCUCUUCUGCAACGGCAUCCUCCUUAACUGUCAGUAGGAUCACAAUAAGUCGACCAACCAUCUACCGUAUGGAUUAUCUAUAAAUUGAAAUUGGUGUGUAUUAUGGAUCUGUCACUCUGCUGUUUCUGUUUUCUUUUCUAUUUUUACCAAGAAAGAAACAUUGUUAAAACUGAAUGGUUGUUAUCUCGUCUUGUUGUAAUGUUGUGUAUGCUUUCUAGAAAAUAAUGAAGUGCCAAAUAUGAAAAUACUAGUGGCUACCUUACCAUCCUUAAUAAGUUGUCUGAUUGUCACCGUCAACAAUCACUCUCAGCAACUCAUAAUCCAUUUAAGCAUAUUAUAAAAUAAUCAAUUUUGUAUUUGCACCAACUUUUAGUUUUAAAUGACAAUUUCGUUGAUCCCCACACUUCUGUACUAAUCAAAUCCACUGAAACUGGACUUUUUUUUCUUUUUUUUUAUAAUUACAUCGAUUGCAUUGGCUAUUGCAGGGAAAAGACUGCCUCUACAGGGAACUAAACUUUCAGAAUUGUUCUUAUGAGGGUUUGAAUAUGCUCUCGUACUAGGUCAAUGGCCUAUUGGUUCGAGACCAUUCACAAAGAAAGAAAUGAGUUUUGCUUGUAUAAAUGAAAGAAAUCCAAAUGAUAACUAAUGUAUAGUGGUACAUGAGAAAAAUAAUUUCAGCCCGUGUAAAGUCAAAAAGAGAAAAUAUUAAAAGAAAGGAUAAUGUCAUUGAGUUCGGUGAAGUGAAAGAAAAUGAAAAACAUGGGAUUUAGUCAAACUUAGUGUCCCAAUCAGCAGAAAAAGGUUUUAGAAACUCACCUCAAGUUAAGCCAACUAUUAGGAGCUUUAUUUAAUCAUGACUUUCUAAUGUAUAGUACUCCAAUACUAAACGAGGGCUACCUCUACGCUUGCAAUUGUAAAUGAAAUUGAGUUCGUGACGCACAAUGAAGUGAGCAAAAUGAGUUGAGAUCUGAGAAUAUAUUAAAGAAAAUAUGAAUCAAUGAAUUUUGGUUAAAAAAAACAAAUGCUGGUUCUUCAAGACCUGCGUGUAUUGUGUAAGUUUUGUUAGGAGAAGGAAAGCAUUUUGGUCUAAAACGCACUAAAUCGGAUUCAUUUGCUUGAUAUCUAAUAAGGGUGAAUUAACCACUCGCCCACAGCAAUUCAAGUCCCAAAAAAAUUAUUGUGGGGGCUAAAUUUCUUCUUUAAUUAUAACAAAUAAUUGAGUGGAGGAUAAAAAUUUAGGCCAUGUAUAACAAUAACUAAUAUAAACUAGUCCUAAUAAUAGUAUAAUUGUAAAUAUCAGUUGUAGUCUCAUACAAUAUAAGUUUAUAGAUUAUAAUAUCGGCAUAAAAAGAAAAAUGAUAUCUGACGGUCAAUCAAUAAAAGGACAAAAACUUGGAGUAACAUACCACAAAGUCAAUGUAGCUGGACAGAUGAAUAUAAUAUGUAAACAAAUUUAAAUGGGAUAAUACCAUACGGUACAUACAUAACAUUUUAAAACUGAAUUAAAAAAAUAAAAUUAAAACUGAAUUGGAAUUCGUAUGUGUAUCCAGCUACCUUGCAACAGUUGUAAGGUACCCUAACUUUGCAACAAUUUCAUCCUUCGUGCAUUCGGUCACAAAGUCCAAAUUAGGCACGUUUAAGAAUCGAACUGAAAAACUAAAAAAAAAGAAUCCGGCGAUAUUUGCGAACCGGAAACGAGCCAGCGUUAUGCUUAUGUCAUUUCAGAGAUAUCAACAGUCGUGCUUUCAGUCCUUAAACCUCAAGGGCAUUUUCGUCCUUUCACUCAAGCGUGAAACUGCAUGUAAGAACUGCUUCGCUUACACGCUCCAUGCACAUUUAAAGGCACCACUGUCGGAUAAAAAAUAUCCAUCCAUUUGAUCAUUUCAAAACAAAACGAAAAAAAAAAUCUCAGUAAUUGAACUGAACGAGUCUCAGAAAUGGCAUCGAAAAGUAAGAUUCUAUUCAUCGGCGGGACAGGGUAUAUCGGUAAAUUCACUGUCGAAGCGAGCGUAAAAGCCGGCCACCCGACGUUCGUGCUCGUGAGAGAAUCCACAAUCUCUGGUCCUUCCAAAUCUCAACUCCUCGAUCACUUCAAAAACCUCGGCGUCAAUCUUGUCAUAGUGCGUUUUCAUUUUUCUCUUUUCUUUAUUUUUUAUUCCGAUCAUUUUUACACGUCGAAGUGUAGCAUCUACUACUUAAUAUACAUAAUGAUAUUAUUAUUUUUUAAUUUUUUUGGGUUGCUGUUAUUAUUAUACAGGGAGAUGUGUUGAAUCACGAGAGUUUGGUGAAGGCGAUAAAACAAGUGGACGCGGUGAUAUCAACAGUUGGUCACACUUUAAUAGCCGAUCAGGUCAAGAUUAUUGCUGCCAUUAAAGAAGCCGGUAACGUUAAGGUAUGACAUAAUUAAUGUAAAUGUCUUAGAUUUCGAUCAGGAUUGUGCACUCGUGCACACGUGGUGAUUUAUUCUUCGUGUGGAGCUCGCUGUAGAGUAGAGCUCCCAGUUCCGCUAAUAAACACCCGUCAGAUGCGCAAUUGCGCCUCAAAAUAAUUUAAUUAAUUAAUUAGGUAUAAACACCGAUGGCAUGAAAGCAAUUAAAAUUAGUUGAUGUUUAUAAAUUAUUUAUUACUCAGAGAUUCUUACCAUCGGAAUUUGGAAAUGAUGUUGAUCGAGUCGAAGGCGCCGUAGAGCCAACAAAAUCGACGUAUGACGUAAAGGCGAAAAUCCGCCGAGCCGUUGAGGCAGAAGGCAUUCCGUACACUUACGUAGAAUCUUAUUGUUUUGAUGGGUAUUUCCUCCCCAAUUUGUUGCAGCCUGAGGCCACUGCCCCCCCUAGGGAUAAGGUUGUCAUCUUAGGCGAUGGAAAUCCAAAAGGUAAUAUAAUUUAAUUAAGCUCUGUUUGUUUGGUAUGUAUUGCGGUGUUAAUGUUAUUGUCUGUUGUACAAUGGAUGGUCUUGCUUGGUACUGUUGUUGGAGAGCUGCAGUGUUUUGAUAAACACCUCUAUAGUCUAUCCUUAUCCUUAGCUUUCAAGUUAAGUUGAUUUUAUACAACACUUGUUUAAUUAAAAACUUGUAAUAUUCUUACUACUUUGAUAAAAAAAAUAUUACGAUUAAAGUAUUAAUGGCACCAUAAUACGAAAUGAAUCUUAAGUGGUCAUUAUAGAUUUUAAGAUAGAGUUUUAAGUGAUUACCAGAUACUUUAGCUGCUGAACCGCCACAUCAUGGUUGCCACACAACAAUUUCAAACAGAACCUAAAUAACUUCAUUGCAAAACAGUUAAAUGAAUCUAACUUAGUUUCGUCGUUUGAUUUUCAGCUGUUUUUAACAAGGAAGAUGAUAUUGGAACCUACACUAUCAAAGCGGUUGAUGAUCCGAGAACCUUGAACAAAAACUUUUACAUUCAGCCUCCCGGUAAUAUUUACUCAUUCAAUGAUCUUGUGUCUCUGUGGGAGAGAAAGAUUGGUAAAACCCUCGAAAAGGAGUAUGUUUCAGAGGAGCAGCUCCUAAAGAAUAUUCAAG
rnacentral:lncRNA from 1 species